rnacentral:rRNA from 1 species
UACGAAGGGAGCUAGCGCUGUUCGGAAUUACUGGGCGUAAAGGGCGCGUAGGUGGUUAGAUAAGCAAGAUGUGAAAUCCCUGGACUUAACCUAGGAAUGGCAUUUUGGACUGUUGGACUGAGUGUACGAGAGGGGAAAAUUGAAUGGCGCGUGGAGUAGUGAAUUGCGUUGAUAUUCGUUGGAACACCAGAGGCGAAGGCGAUUUUCUGGCUCUUAACAGUCACUAAGGCGCGAAAGCGUGAAGAGCAAACAGG